GGGUUUGGCUCGCGCCUCGGCAUCUCGUUUGGGGAACGCAGGAGAUGUACAACUUGUUUUAAAUACUUCUCGGCUUCUCCAAAAGCCAGAGCCGGGGCAGAGAAAGGAGUGGCAGCGAAGGGCCUGAACGGUUGUUGUCUGUGAGUGUAGCAGGUAAUUAAACGCCCAAGAUCUCUCUCAAAUGAAAAAACACCUCGGCAUGUAUAAAUUUGCUUAUUGGCUUUUUAGCAGUCACCCUCUUUUUAUAGUCAGCUUUGUCUGCGGAUGGUUCCUUUUGUGUAAGGGUGUGCUUUUUGACGUUUCCUUUGAAUUUGGUACGUGGAAAAUGCCAUCAGUCAGCGCGGAGGCCUGUUGGUUCAUUUUGGAAUUCUCUUUACUAGACACUUUUUUCCAUCAAAAACUGGAUUCAGCACCCCUCUCCCCGACUGUGUUGCCUGGUAAUUUGUUCAUCGUUAUUAAUGGCAUAUGAAAACGUGUGAUUUCUUUGAUUUAAUAAAUUAUAGUUCCUGUGAGUUCU